UGGGGAAUUUUGCACAAUGGGGGGAAACCCUGAUGCAGCGACGCCGCGUGAUUUAGAAGGCCUUCGGGUUGUAAAAAUCUUUUGUAUGGGAAGAAAAUGACAGUACCAUACGAAUAAGGACCGGCUAAUUACGUGCCAGCAGCCGCGGUAAUACGUAAGGUCCGAGCGUUGUCCGGAAUCAUUGGGCGUAAAGGGUACGUAGGCGGAUAAGCAAGUUAGAAGUGAAAUCCUAUAGCUCAACUAUAGUAAGCUUUUAAAACUGCUCAUCUUGAGGUAUGGAAGGGAAAGUGGAAUUCCUAGUGUAGCGGUGAAAUGCGCAGAUAUUAGGAGGAAUACCGGUGGCGAAGGCGACUUUCUGGCCAUAUACUGACGCUGAGGUACGAAAGCGUGGGUAGCAAACAGG
rnacentral:rRNA from 1 species